rnacentral:rRNA from 1 species
AUUGCGCAAUGGAGGAAACUCUGACGCAGCAACGCCGCGUGAAGGAUGAGGGUUUUCGGAUUGUAAACUUCUUUGAUGAGGUACGAAACAAAUGACGGUACCUCAAAAACAAGCCACGGCUAACUACGUGCCAGCAGCCGCGGUAAUACGUAGGUGGCGAGCGUUGUCCGGAAUUACUGGGUGUAAAGGGCGUGUAGGCGGGGAUGUAAGUCAGAUGUGAAAUGACGAGGCUUAACUUCGGAGCUGCAUCUGAAACUACGUUUCUUGAGUGUCGGAGAGGAAAGCGGAAUUCCCAGUGUAGCGGUGAAAUGCGUAGAUAUUGGGAGGAACACCAGUGGCGAAGGCGGCUUUCUGGACGAUAACUGACGCUGAGGCGCGAAAGCGUGGGGAGCAAACAGG